AACAUUAAUACAUUUAUAUAUGAUUUUUGGAUGUUUCUGAUCUAUCAAGUGUAGAAAAAUAUAAAAUAUUAAUUUAAAGUAAUGGAAUUAAAUUAAUAUCUUGUAAAUUUUAAAGAUGACCAUAAAAUUUGGUCAACUAUUUACUAAAUACGGUCUAGUUACACUUUUACCUACCUUUGUAGCGUGGAGUAUUUACGCAGAUUGGACCUACACAAAGAAGUGCAAGGCUAGAGAUCAGGAAGCUCAACAAAAUCCCGAAAAUGUAUCCGUUUAUUCCUAAACAGAUCUACUUGGGUCUUUUCCCUUUAGUGGGCUAUCUUAUUGGGGCCUAUUUUGAUAACAAGGAGACAGAAAGGCUGUCGUACUUCAGAGACAAAAGUGCAUUGUAUGGAAGGGUCCUUAAUGAAGGAGAAAAACCAUCAUGGCCAUGAAAAAUGUAUAUUUAACAGUUUAUUUAAUAUGUAGUAUAUUUGUUGAAUAAAACAAUAACUGUA